CCUACGGGAGGCAGCAGUGGGGAAUCUUGGACAAUGGGCGCAAGCCUGAUCCAGCCAUGCCGCGUGAGUGAAGAAGGCCUUCGGGUUGUAAAGCUCUUUUGUCAGGGACGAUAAUGACGGUACCUGAAGAAUAAGCCCCGGCAAACUUCGUGCCAGCAGCCGCGGUAAUACGAAGGGGGCUAGCGUUGUUCGGAUUUACUGGGCGUAAAGCGUACGUAGGCGGAUUGUUAAGUGAGAGGUGAAAUCCCAGGGCUCAACCCUGGAACUGCCUUUCAUACUGGCAAUCUCGAGUUCGGAAGAGGUGAGUGGAAUUCCUAGUGUAGAGGUGAAAUUCGUAGAUAUUAGGAAGAACACCGGUGGCGAAGGCGGCUCACUGGUCCGAUACUGACGCUGAGGUACGAAAGCGUGGGGAGCAAACAGGAUUAGAUACCCUGGUAGUCCACGCCGUAAACUAUGGGUGCUAGCCGUUGGAAAGCUUGCUUUUCAGUGGCGCAGCUACGACAUAAGUACACCCGCCGUCGGGAGGUACGGUCGCGAGAAUAAACUAACAAUAGAAUAGACGGCGUGAGACGNGCCGACGGACGACGACGAGGGAGGUAGG
rnacentral:rRNA from 1 species